UACGUAGGUGGCAAGCGUUGUCCGGAAUUAUUGGGCGUAAAGCGCGCGCAGGUGGGAUCUUAAGUCCAUUUUGAAAGUUCGGAGCUCAACUCCGAGAUGGGAUGGAAACUGGGAUUCUUGAGUAUCGGAGAGGAAAGCGGAAUUCCCCGUGUAGCGGUGAAAUGCGUAGAUAUGGGGAGGAACACCAGUGGCGAAGGCGGCUUUCUGGACGAUGUCUGACACUGAGGCGCGAAAGCCAGGGGAGCGAACGGG
rnacentral:rRNA from 1 species